UACAGAGGUCUCAAGCGUUGUUCGGAUUCAUUGGGCGUAAAGGGUGCGUAGGUGGCGAGGUUAGUCAGGUGUGAAAUCUCGGGGCUCAACCCCGAAACUGCACUUGAUACUGCCUUGCUAGAGUACUGGAGAGGAGAUUGGAAUUUACGGUGUAGCAGUGAAAUGCGUAGAUAUCGUAAGGAAGGCCAGUGGCGAAGGCGAAUCUCUGGACAGUUACUGACACUGAGGCACGAAGGCCAGGGGAGCAAACGGG
rnacentral:rRNA from 1 species